AGAACGCAAAGUGCAAACACAAGCUGUCUAGUUUUCAUUGUUCCUGCUUGCUUUUACAAUUGGUUUUUGUUUUUUGUUUUUGUUUUAAUU
rnacentral:ribozyme from 1 species